GUCACGACCGCGGCCAAAAAUGGUAAAAACCAAGUACAUAAGAGCACAAAUUUAUUGAUGAGAAUUGAUAGAAAACAUUCCAGUUAGGAAUAAUAUGAAUUUUGGUAGUGAUACGUCAAGUAGUUUUGCCUGUACGAGGGUUCAAAUCUGAUAGUUUUUGGCAAUCGGCAUUUUUCUAUUUUUUUCGGAAAAUUGACACUUUUUUCAUAUGUUCAAAAAUUUGAAUAUUAAAAGUAACGGUUAUAAAAAAAGUGUUUAUUUUAGUUACUUGGGAUGUCAAAAACUUGGCUUCACCUUUGUUUGGGUGUAAAUAGUGAUCAUAUGGUGUUUACAGUUACAAACACCUGUUGUACUUAGUUCAUCUAUUUUGUAAAGCAAAUCUUGAAAUUAGUGGAGUAGAAAAAAAAGGUUAAAAAAGUUUAGUGUACAUUUUUGUUGAUUUUAGUUGUGAAAAUGACCACCUCUUUAAAAAACUGUGACAUAUUUUUGGAAUGGUUAGAAGUAAAGGAUCAAAGUAUGUCAUAUGUUCUGGCAAAACUUAAAGAAUUUAUUGAGGAUCGAAUUGGAAGGAAAAUGACGGGCGAAGAACACAUAAAGGUUAAAAAUAUUUGCUACAAAUUGUCUUCUACGUGGAAAAAAUACUAUCGAAAGAGGGAUAAAGUAGAAAUGGUCUUAAAAGAUUGGUUUCUUAUGGAUACGUUUAAAUUUGAUUCGGAACCUGAUAAGUCUACAUCAAGAGGUCGACCACGCAUUAACUUUGAGGAAAGUUCAUGUAGAACAAAAAGGCGACGUGUAGGUG